UCUCUUCUGGAGGAUCCCAACUGUAAACUGGAGAAACUAGGCCUGAUGCUCUGCAGUAUUACAGAUAAAGGCCUCAGAUCUUUACUAUCAGCAGUGAGAUCAAACCCAUCAGCACUCAGAGAGCUUCAUCUGAAUGGGAAUCAGCCCGGACCCUCAGCACUGCAGCUGUUCUCUGAACUUCAGAAAGAUCCCAACUGUAAACAUAUCAACAUAUCUGGAGUCUCAGACAAACAAUGUGUCAUACAAUAAAUAUUCCUCUACAUUGUGUAUAAAACAAA